rnacentral:rRNA from 1 species
UACGGGGGGAGCAAGCGUUGUUCGGAUUUACUGGGCGUAAAGGGCGCGUAGGCGGCGCAACAAGUCACGUUGUCGAAAUCUCCGGGCUUAACCCGGAGCGGCCAAGUGAUACUGCCGUGCUUGAGGACUGGAGAGGAGACGUGGAAUUUACGGUGUAAGCGGUGAAAUGCGUAGAUAUCGUAAGGAAGACCAGUGGCGAAGGCGGGUCUCUGGACAGUUCCUGACGCUGAGGCACGAAGGCCAGGGGAGCAAACGGG